AUUUAACUUGAGAUUAAAACUAAAACUGUGCAAUCGUGGAUAAAUAAUAAAUAAAAAAAUUUUUUAAAAACUCGCGAUUUAUUGAGACAUAUUUGAUCUACGCACUUUCGUGAUUGACUCACGAGUAGUCAGUAGUUGGGUGGUUAUUUGAAACUUCAGGAAAAAAAACAAUGAAAAUUUCGAAGUUAAUUUUGUUAUUGUCUAUUUUUUUGAUAAUUGGCUUCUACGCCAGCGCAGUUGAAGGAUGUCAAGGCGAGCCGUGUGAUCUUUACAACGGCCAAGAUUGUUGCCAUGGUUAUGAGUGUUCUCACCGCUCUCACGUCGGCACUUGCAGACCCUACCGUCAACUAUACACGAGCCUUUAAAUUUACGAGAAACAAAAAAACAUGUACAUAAUUUUAUUUAAACAAUAAAAUUGUUCACAA